CAUUUCAUGAAGAGAUACGUCUCUUUGAGAGAUAACCGCAACAAUUUUGAUUUGUUGUGUCUUUCUCAUCUCGAUUCCAAAUGGAGAUUAAAAAGUGUAAUCAAGACAAAAUCCUGGUCUACAACUUUCAUUUCUUACCACAAAAUCAAAAGAGCAACCAAAAACAUUGGAAAAUCGCUAGAAUUGAUUUCCUGCCCUAAAUCAGAGUGUCUUGCAUACACGGUUAAAAGGAUCUAUCCAAAUUCCUCUCCAGUUGGGAGGGAGAGCCACCAGAAUCUUUAAAGCGUUGUCAAACACCAAAUAAAGAGAUUGGGAUAUUCAAAACUGGGUUUUGAGAAGAGAUCCCGAUACACAACUUCUGUGUUACAAUUUUUCAAGAAAAUUAGAACCGUCAAUCAACAGCAUGGGAACUUAACCGUCGUUCACCCUUUGAUGUACAAGACAUCUCAAAUCCGUAUUUCCCAUACUUUUGGAAAUUAUUCUGAAAGAUAUGCCUACGCGGAGGGAAUAAAGAGAGAACUUCCAGAAACAUUAGGUUCAAGAAAAUGGCGUUAUGGUUCCAAAUCCUGAGUAUCUCUACUGGAUUUCGAUGGAUGGGUUUGUUUUAUCUUGUCUCAAUGCUACGUUUACCAGAUCUGUCUCUGCUGGCCUGCCAUCCUAUACUGUGACAACAUUGGAGCAAACAGGCUUGCCAAAAAUCCUGUUUUCCAUGCUCGCACCAAGCACGUGGAGAUUGACUAUCACUGCAUUAGAGAACUGGUUGAAGAUGGUUUUCUCAAGUUAGCAUAUGUUCCAUCUCAACAUCAGUUGGCGGAUGUGUUUACUAAAGGUCUAGGAGUUGUUAUAUUUCAUUCAUGUAUCCACAAGCUAAUGCACAUUGUUGAGACAUUUGCUUG